rnacentral:rRNA from 1 species
AUUGAACGCUGGCGGCAGGCCUAACACAUGCAAGUCGAGCGUGCGGCGGACGGGUGUGUAAUGUAUGGGGACUGCCCGAUAGAGGGGGCUAACUACUGGAAACGGUGUCGAACACCGCAUCCUAGCGGAUAACCCAUAUGGGAUUCGCUAGUAGGUGGGGUAAAGGCGCACCUAGGCGACGAUCUAUAGCUGGUCUGAGAGUAUGAUACGCAACACUGGAACUGAGACACGGCCCAGACUCCUACGGAGUCAGCAGUGGGGAAUAUUGCACAAUGGGCGCAAGCCUGAUGCAGCCAUGCCGCGUGUAUGAAGAAGGCCUUAGGGUUGUAAAGUACUUUCAGCGGGGAGGCGUUACCCGCAGAAGAAGCACCGGCUAACUCCGUGCCAGCAGCCGCGGUAAUUC